CAGCCGCCGCGGGAAUACGAAGGGGGCUAGCGUUGUUCGGAUUUACUGGGCGUAAAGGGCGCGUAGGCGGACUGAUAAGUCAGGGGUGAAAUCCCAAGGCUCAACCUUGGAACUGCCUUUGAUACUGUUUGUCUUGAGUUCGAGAGAGGUAAGUGGAACUGCGAGCGUAGAGGUGAAAUUCGUAGAUAUUCGCAAGAACACCAGUGGCGAAGGCGGCUCACUGGCCCGAUACUGACGCUGAGGUGCGAAAGCGUGGGGAGCAAACAGGAUUAGAGACCCCCGUAGUCCCUGUCUCUUAUAC
rnacentral:rRNA from 1 species